rnacentral:misc_RNA from 1 species
GAUGAAGAACGUAGCGAAAUGCGAUACGUAGUGUGAAUUGCAGAAUUCAGUGAAUCAUCGAAUCUUUGAACGCACAUUGCACCUCUCGGUAUUCCGGGAGGUAUGCCUGUUCGAGCGUCAUUUGUACCCUCAAGCUCUGCUUGGUGUUGGGUGUUUGUUCCGCCUCUGUGUGUGAACUCGCCUCAAAACAAUUGGCAACCGGCGUACUUGUUUCGGAGCGCAGCACAUUUUGCGAUCCAGAUCAACGUACAGCGGCAUCCAAGAAGCCUUAUUUAACGCUCUUGACCUCGGAUCAGGUAGGGAUACCCGCUGAACUUAAGCAUAUCAAUAAGCGGAGGA